rnacentral:rRNA from 1 species
ACGGUAACGGGUAAGUACUUGUACUUAUGCUGACGAGUGGCGGACGGGUGAGUAAUGCUUGGGAAUCUGUCUUAUGGAGGGGGAUAACGACGGGAAACUGUCGCUAAUACCGCGUAGAGUCGGGAGACGAAAGUGCGGGACUUAAUGGCCGCAUGCCAUGAGAUGAGCCCAAGUGUGAUUAGGUAGUUGGUGGGGUAAAGGCCUACCAAGCCGACGAUCGCUAGCUGGUCUGAGAGGAUGGCCAGCCACACCGGGACUGAGACACGGCCCGGACUCCUACGGGAGGCAGCAGUGGGGAAUAUUGCGCAAUGGGGGCAACCCUGACGCAGCCAUGCCGCGUGAAUGAAGAAGGCCUUCGGGUUGUAAAGUUCUUUCGGUGGUGAGGAAGGGAUGUUGUUUAAUAGAUAACAUCAUUGACGUUAACUACAGAAGAAGCAC